AGCACUGACUGCUAGCGAUUUCGUCGAAUUUUCCAAUUACAUGGCGAAAGAUCGAAAAUACUCAAGACAUUGUGGUCAAAUGAAAGAAUUCGAUGUUGACAGCGAUAGAAAGUUCUUUCGUGUAACAUUUAAAAGUAAUGACAGAUUGGAUGGCACGGGGUUUAACGCAAGUUACGUAUUCUUGGACGAGGAAGAAAAUUAUACGGUCAAAGCACCAACGAACGAAGCCAUUCUCAUACGAUGUACUACGGUACUCCUGUUCCUUACAAGUUGUCUUCUCCUUGGCCAUACUUCGCCUUAAUCACGAUCGGCAACUACUUGUGGAUGGGUUUUGGCUCAAUUUACAACGAACUAAACAACUUGGAGAGAUCGAGAACCAUCUCGAAGUCAGUCAGAAUCCAAAAUACCAACUGGAAGGGUGCGGGGGUGAGGAGGGGGACGGGGGCGGGGCUCCCCAAGCCUUGUUCUCUCUCUAACUCAACAAAUACAAUACUACCAACUACUAUUCUAUUAACCAACAUUACCAUCAUCGUCAUCGUCUUACCAUUCAACCCAACCAAUCAACACCAUAACACCCAGUGUUCUCUUCCUACUACUAUUACUACUACUAUUACUACUACUACUACUACUACUACUACCCACUUCGCAAACCCUUCAGGAGUGUGUAGCAUCGAAGAAUGUGCCUCUGCUACUACUGCUGCAAUUGAUGACGCAGUUGUUGAUGCAGUUAAUACUCCGUUUGCGUCAAUGGAAUUGC